ncrna:Collinsella intestinalis DSM 13280 raiA RNA
UUCCUCCCAGGCUGUGGUUGCGGGUGCGCGCGGACUAUCGGUUCGUCGCGCUCCUCAGUCCAAGACAGACGCGGUCGAAGGGAUCCACGUAAGCCGUCGCGUGCGCGCGAGGGCGAUCAUGGCGCGUCCUAGAAGUAAGUCGCACCGCCCGUCGCUACUUUUUUGAGGCAAUACGUGCCUCGCGGGCGAGCGGGUUAGUCGUGAUACCGCCGCGGCGGUACGAGCAAACGCCCCGGUGCGCAAGUGUGGGGUCAAAAACCAGGUCAGCUGGGGGGA